rnacentral:lncRNA from 1 species
GUUAUUAGGAGUUUGUAUGGUGGGGUUAAAAGAAAACGAGUGAGGGAGACAAGUAAUUGAAGGCUUCCCAAUUUCUCAUUCAGGUUGGUGGAAAAUUUUGAGGGGACGUUGUCAGACAACUCCACGUGAAGGUUUUUCUUCACAGUCUCUUUUGUCAAGAAAGAAACAAACGCUUCCAAAAUUUAUGUUGUUUUCACUUUGCGUGAGGAAACCCUUUGCGUGCGAAGAUGAAAAAGAAGAGAAGGGGCAACGUAGGGUAAGGAAUUGUAGUGGUGUAAAGAAAAGAAGGUGAUGUUGUCUGUACUUCUAGCUAUCGUGUCAGUCGUUAAAUUGAAAAUAAUUUGAUGGAUGGGGAUAGAGCAAUGGAGCAAGCAGGGGUAUCAUCACAGUAUCACUCAUGAAAACCUAGCCAUCAUUCAGAAACAAAUCAAAAGAAAACAGAUGAAAUGGUAAUUUCAUAAUUCAAACACAUUUAAUAUCUUAUAUAUAUAUAUAUAUAUAGAUGAUGAUAAGAAUGCAUCAUGCAUGCCCCUUUCAAUAAUUUACUAGUUCUCUAUAGGAUGAAGACAUAGGUUGAUAGCUAUAAUGAAUAAUAAUGUUGUUAUGAUUCAUUUUGUAUUUUAUUUAAACGACCAUCCAUUACACGAGAUCGUUCUCAGUGUGUUUUUGAACAAAUGCUCUUUGAAGAAUUAUAAAUGUGCAUGCACACCCUAUUAUUUUGUUUUUGUGUAAAC